rnacentral:lncRNA from 1 species
CUAUUUUGAAACAAUAAAAAGACUAGUAAAUUAAGGCUUUUAAGGAAUCUAAGUAGACAUAACUUCCAUUUUCUGUUGAAAGCUAUUGUCUACCAUAAAUUUAGGUUGCCUGGGAGUUAUGUGGGCAAAAUCUCCAAGGACAACCUAAUGACUAAAUCGCCGUUCUCAGUCAUCCCACUUGCUGGAACUCGGCAGCAUUUGACACCAUCAGGCUUUCUGUUUGGAAUCCCCAUUUAUGUUUAAUUCUUAGGGAACUUCAUUUCAAUUCAUUUUCUACUUUCUUGACUACUCUUUCUCUGCCCUCCUUGAUGAGUCCUCUUCCUCCUCUCCUGCCUUCAGGGAGAAAUUCCUUCAGAUUUUUCUAACAUUUUUUUUGUAAGGUAAUUAUAAGAUAAUUGCCCUUACCAUCUAUCUCUUUCUCUCUCCAUAAAUAGAUAGAUUAGAUAGAUAGAUAGAUAGAUAGAUAGAUAGAUAGAUAGACAGACAGAUAGACAUAGAUAUUGCUAUAUGCUAUAUGCUCUCUCUUCCCUCCUCCCCUCCCCCACACAAACAGAUAUAUCUGUUUAUAAUAAUCUCCAAAUUGUAUUUCAAGUAUUAUAAAGUUUUAGAUGUAUCUGUUUAUAUGGCAGAAGGGAGAGAGAGGAUAUAAUCUGUUUAUAUGGGGAAGGGGAGAGAGAAUAUAUAUUUAAAAACUCAAUUAUAUAUAUACACACAUAUAUAUUAAAGAUAAAAUUAUAUAAUCUUAGAAAACUCAUUCCCUCUCAUAAAUUAAAUUAUUAUGCCUAUGAGAAUGAUUUCCACAUCUUAUCUCCAGUUGUUACUUUUAACUGAGUACCCUCAUUUUUCAAUUGCCUAUUAGACUUGACCAUUUGAAUGUCCUUAAUCUUGCCACUUUAAUGUGUCUAAAAGGCAACUUAUUGUCUUUCUCGGAAACAAAGUUUUCAUUGGAUUCGCUUUUGAUUUAUAGUUCCACCCUUCUUCCAUGCUAAAAAUGCCAAAAUUAUCUUUACCACUUAUUUUUAAUAUUCUUAAAUUAUAUUACAUAGACACUUUUCAUUCCCAUUGCUACCACCAUAAUUCAAAACCUUGUUACCUUGUACAUGUAUAUUGCCUUAGCAUAAUGAGUUUUCUGUUUGUUUCUAGAUUUUCCAUAAAAUUAUAUUUCGUCAGGAAUUCUUUUUCACAUCUACCUCAAUGUCAUAAUGGUCUUGGUACACAUCUUGGACAUCUAUAAAAUGCAAAAUUGGGAACACAUUAAACACAAUAUUCUGCCUUGGUUUUUUUAUUAAAUGACAAACAGAAGUGGUUCUCCAGGGGUAGCACUGGCCAUGAAAGCCAGCAGCUUUGCUGAUGGAGAAGGAUCACUCUCUGACAGAAAGCAUUGCUAAUAUCUCCAUAAUAUCCCUGGCUAACCAGGAGUCUACAUAUGUGUGCAGAAGAAACACAAGAAGGCCUAGCAGAAAAUAAAGCCAGGAUAGAUUGGAAAAUGACUGAGCUUUGAAAUGUGCUCCCAACCCACACUAAGCUCCAUUCGUAAGGGGUAGAAGCCUUCCUGUUUGAGGUGUUUGAAGACAACAUAUAAUCAUUUACUGUAUGACUGCUAAGCUAUGCAAAAACUGCCACAACCUCUUAGGAAGCCAACCAAAAGAGAUUAAAAGUAUUCAAAAAUAUUAAGCAGAUGCAUUAGUUGCUGCACACCAUGGAGAGAGGCAGAUCCCGCAAAUUUAGCCCAAGCAAGUUAUUAAAACAAAUCAAUCAACAACAACAACUAAAUAAGAAUGAAAAAUCUCAGGAAAAAAUCCAGAGUUGCUACAAUAUAUUUUCAAAAAUAUGCAGGUAAAAAAUGUUAUGAGAUAUGCAGUUGAUCCUGAAGCCCUUCUCCAGCCUCUUUAUAGUAUCUUCUCAGAUGUUCUCAUCAGUUCCUAAAGUUUGUAACCAAUAUGCUGAUGAUAGAUCAUUAAGAAUGAGUAUCCUGAACAGAUAUUCACAACCAACUGAUUGUCAUUUCUGUCUCCUAACCAGUCUCAUUUUAAGGCUUCUAAGCCAGCAAACAUCUGAAGUUUUUCAUAUUCUAAAUUACAUUCUAAUAUCUAAGAUGAACUUCUAAUUUAUCUAGUGCCAAAUAUUUUGCCUCAUAAUGAAUGCAGAAAACCUAAUACUCAAGUUUUUACAACCACUUUGGCCUAAUGGUGCUUGUAAAUAAUGCAUUUGCAUAAUGAGCAAUAUUUAUAAAAGCCAAUUACUGCUAAUAUGUAUGACCUUUUGGCAUCAGGUACGCUAAUAACCUUUGAAAUGUUGACUAGAUUAUAUAAUGCCAAAACAAAACUUAGGUAUAAUAGGAGCCAGGCUCCUUGUAUAUAUAAGAAUGAAGGUUAGUUUCUAUUUUGGCUGCACUUAUAAACAGGUGUUAAUUAGAUAUGUGAUUUGAAUUAAAAAUUCUGGUACAUUUUCAAAUAGAGAGCAUUAAAAAGGAAUUAUGUGAAAAUGACUAUAACUAGACGCAAGAGCCC